AUCCCUGCUGGCUCACUGCUCGCCUCUUUGCCCACCCGCCACUUGCCCACCCGCUCACGUCCCCCCCCCCCCAAGUAUAAAGCCUCAUUCAAAGACCCAGGGGUCACUAUAUUACAGGCCCUGCAGCCAUGUCCCUUCAUGCUCUGAACCUGAGAGGUCUCACAAAUUAAUGCCCAAUCCUGCAUAUAGUUACAGCUGGGAGUAGAGCUUACUGUCUUGAGUCCCACUGACUUCAGUGAGACAACUCCUGGCAGCAAGCAUGCCAUCUGGCAACAACAGUUUGCAGGAUCAGACUGUGGGUAAGGUCAAGCGAGGUCAGCACUUGAAUGGGAGACCUCCAAGGAAAAUCUUAGCCAUUGCAGGAAGUGUGCUGGUGAUUCGUGAACCAGUCCCUCCGUGGGGUGCUGGAGAGAAAGCACCUUCCCUCUGAAAAACCAACCCUUUUAAGGUGUCCCACGGUUGUGCACACAAAGUCAUUAGUCACUUUUGAAAACGCAGACCAGUUUACCCCUAGAGCUUCUAAACAAGAGCUAGCAGUUCUAGUCAGAGGCAAGGCAUAUCAAACAGUCAUUAUGGCAGAGGGGAUGUUGCUGUUUCCUCUUAUCUUAUUCUAAGUAAGAGAGCGAGGUAUUGAAAUGUAUCAUUUUUCUCUUUCUCAAUUCUCCCUGCUCCUCCAGAGUGUUCUGAUAGACGAAGCAUCUGCCAAAAAACUGAAGAGCGUUCUGUUUGAAGCCACGGUUGUAACCAGCAUCCCCUUCAUAAUCAUGGCAUUAGGAAUUAUUUUGGGGAUUUGUUUCAUUGUGCUCGUAUGCAGGCCCCCUGGAACAAGGGAAGAGAGUUCUGAAGAGGAAAGGGCUCCGCUCAUCAGGACAUCCUAAUCUUCUUUUUUUCCCCUUCCCAUGUGAGCUUGGUGAAUACACUAUGCAAGUUGAUCUAAUACCGAACACUACCCGGCAUUCAGCAUUCUAAAAACCCACCAUGCUAAUUAUAAUUAUUUGUAGUACAGGGAUGGAAAAUACUAAAAUGCUAGUGAAUGAGGAAACUGUUCUUCUCAGCUGCUAAGUAAGUUUUAAAACCAGAUAUUAAAAUGACUUGAGAUCCUGCUUUAUUAACUAGUGUUUAAUAUUCCCAGUGCUGUUGAAAGCCAUAAAAGCUCAGAACCACUAUAUCAGUGAGAGUAUAAUACCCUGAUUCAUGUAUUAGAAUUACGUGGGGUAAACUUUGUAAAUGGACCUUAGUAAUGUGGGCUCCUAAGUCCCUUUUGAAAAUGGAACUUAAGCAUCUUUGAAAAUAUUGCCCUAGGUCUAAUUUUGUCUUUUGUGUAGAGUACACUUGACUUCUUAUUAACAGAGUGUGAAUGGAUUGUUUUAGUAGUUACACAUCAUGCCUUUCACCUCCAAAAUUGUUUUGUGAAUCUAAGCCAAAAUGGUAAGUGAGGCCUAUUUAAUCAUACCUAGUUUUCAGUUAAGAAGCCAAGUACUUGAUAGCACAUUUUCGUACAGCACCUUGAUCUGUCCCAGUAUUGCUUGAAAUCCCAUUGUGUGGUAUUAAUAAAAUGCCCUGGAAAGUUUUUAAUUAAUUGUUUUUUACACUGGAAAACAAAGGGUUGGUUAGCUGAGGGUACAAUAGAGCGUUCUCCUUUUUUCCUGUGUCAGUGUCUCACCAAUAUCUAUUCUGUGGAGCACUGUACAGGCAGAUGUUGCAAGGGUAUUUGUAAUUGCAUUCAACAUUUAGGAAACCUACAGACCUUCUGUGUUGAGGUAUGUUUGGAACAUAAAGGAAAGCAGCAUAAAUGUUUUUUUAAAAAUACUGGUAGCUUAAAAUAUCAUAAGGGUACCUUUUUUCUCUCCGUGAGGAAGAGCAUUCUCACAAAUAUAUUUCCAUCAAAUAAAGUCAGUGAAAAAUUGAGACCUACUUUUCUGACUGGCUGAACACUCAUGCGUAGGAUAUGUAUCAGAGGGGUAGCCGUGUUAGUCUGGAUCUAUAAAAAGCAACAGAGAGUCCUGUGGCACCUUUAAGAUGCGUCCGACGAAGUGGGCAUUCACCCACGAAAGCUUAUGCUCCAAUACAUCUGUUAGUCUUAAAGGUGCCACAGGACUCUCUGUUGCUUUCCACAUGCGUAGGAUGUUAGCCUAUCAAUUGUUCAGCAAUCCAGACCAUUUUGGGCUGGCCCAGUCGGAAAAGCUCAUUAUUAUCACUAUUAUUAUUUAUUAUCUGUAUUACUGUAGCACCGAGGAGCCCAAGUCCUGGACCAGAGCCCAACUGUGCUGUGGUCUAUAGAUUUGUACCAAUCACAGAAGGCUAGAGAAACUGGCAUUGCACCAGGCUGACUUCUUCAGCCGACUGGCUCCUCUCCUAUGCAAGCCAAAACCAACCAAAUAAUAAUCAUCCAAAUUCAGGCAUCUGCCGCGCUGCCUGGCUGAGGAUCAGGGCUCCUGUACAUAAUGGAGCUCCCAACCCAUCGUGAUCUGCAAGUGUGUUCCCAAUGAGUGAGAGACUCAGGCUAGCCAACUACAGCCAUUCAUCUCAAGGGAUUUGCUCGGCAGUAAUGUCUCCAUUUAACCUCAUGAGAGGAAACUGUCCAGCCCUCAUCUGCCCGGUGAUUGGCCAGGAUGAAAAUAAUGCCAUGUGAAAACCCUUGUGGGUGAGGGGGUUUGGAACUCUGCCCUACCUUUACCCCAAAUGUUGUUCUGCGGGAGGGGAGAAUCUUCCUUUGCCACUUGUGUAGAUUCCAGUUGCAGAUACCCUCCUCCCCAUCACCCCAGUCUUUGAGUCCCAGGACCCCUUUCUUUCUUUCCUUGGCUGACCUCUGGAAUAAACCUGCCAGCUAAGGAGAACUCAAUAGCUUUGGCCCAGGGUCCCUUUUAAAUUCUUCCCUGUAUUCGGAAAGGGGCAGCUACAGACUUCCCAGUGCUGCUGGUAAAAGGCUACAUCCCCCUCAGAUGAAGGGCCAGCCUUCCUUAGCUGGGGAAACUGAGUCAGUAGCUGCAGAGCCUGUGUUCUGGGAGUGGGCCAUUUGCCUUUUGCAGUACGUUAUGCUAAAUCAGGAACUCUAGAUCACCUUUCUGUCUCAGUCUUUAUGUUGUACAGGUCAGAUCAUUGUAUGAUCCACAUUGAAAUAUAGCACCGUGUGGAAAAGCUAUCUGUGCACAACAGCGGUAACCUACAAAUCAUCUACAAAGCCUCGGGUAUUUUCUGAGGAAGUCAUUUUGAAAGCAUUAUUCCUGAUAAAACGACAAGGCCUCACAGGGUGAAAUUCAUCCUAGCGCAGAGGACCAGCAGAGGGACUACGCACUGCUGCAAAAUACCAGUCCUCAUGCCACUGUCCAGACCAAGUAGUCGUGGACUCGGCUGAGAUGUCAGGAACAGGUUUUGUCCCAAGGACUCAACUGUUGUGCAGGAUCCCCUGCCCUGGGGUGAAUUUAACCCCAACAUAUCCAUUUUAAAAUGUUACAUUCUGCUUAUUGGGUCAGAUCCUCAGCUGAUGUAAAUCCAUGGAGCGCUAUCAAAGUCAGUGAUGCUGUGCCAAUUUACAUCUCUUCAGGGUCUGGCUCAUUGUUCCUUUCCAUUUAUUGAUUAAUUUGCCGAACUCUUCAAAUGUCUGAAUGACUGUGUCUAGAGGUUUGUGUAUAUGCUACAGCAGGUUAAGCUGCUUCUUGGUUUUGUUACUUCAUUGCUCCAAUGUUUCCAUUCUCUACCUUGCUCUGAAGAAUUUCCCCCCCAAGGAACAUCUGUUUCUUAAAUCUCCACUAGACCGUAGGGAAGAGGUCUUAUCUGUCUAAAAUACAGGAAAGGUGGUUAUUUUAAUAAACGUUUCCAUUUUAUUUUUUGCAUGCUCCUGCUGUUACGUCCAUUCCUGUACAGCUGUCCUGUUUCGCUGCGCCUUCUAAUUUUCAGUGUGCCAUUGGAAAUCUGUUAAAUGUCGUGCAAAGUGACUGUCAUCAGGUUUUAAAACAUGUGCAUGUCCGUUAGAGGUGAGCACUGUGGGCAGAAUGCCAACAAAAUCACAUUCAGUUGUACUUUAUAGACACAGGCUUUUUUAGUCCAUGGAACAUCUAAUUCUUUCUGGAACUUCUCAGCAACUAACUCACAUGUAAAAAAUAUAGUACGUUCUGUAUUACAAGCGGGGUGUGCCAAAGCGCUCAGCAGUGGCCUGACGCUGCUCCCACUGAAGCCAGUGGGAGUUUGCCAGUGUUGUCAAUGGGAGCAGGCAUAGGCCAUCAACAAACACAUUUUAAAAUCCCAUGUGUUACAGAUACAAAUAGACGCAUAGAUAUUAAGCAGUUUGGAGAAGGGUGUGUGCAUUUCUAUGUAAGGCAAGAGCAAAAAUGACUGCAGAGUUAAAAGCUAAAACCCAUUGAAGCAGGAUGCAUGAUACAAUUUUAGAGAGUGUUUUAUUUCCUUUUAGUUUUGUGAAAACGGUACAUUGCAGUUUGAUGCCUCUUAAUGGAGCAUUCCACCCCCUCUCUCAAUCUAGCACAUACAAAAAGUCAAAUAUACCUGUGGGAGAGCCAUUUUAUUGGAUGCCAGACCUUCCAGCUGUGUUUUAUAAAGGGUCAGUAUAUUUGAUAUGCAGGGACAGUUAUCCUUGACAGGCCUUUGCACUGUUUCUUUGUAAACUGUCCCCUGGAUACCUUAAAAAUCCAGAAUCCCAUUUGUUCAUCUUUCUCAGCUGUUAAGGUGUAAAGAAACACUACAAAGAAUAUCAUUCUCUGGAUGCACACAUGCAACUCACAAUAGCAACUAAUUAACACUGAAAGGCAGCACAGUCUAGUGAUUAGAGCGCAAGGCUGGUUUUCAGGAGACCAGAGUUGUAAUCUGUAGGGUUAUUAACAUUUACCUAUAUCUCAUCCAGAGGUGGUGUGGGGAUGAAUUAAUAUUAGUAAAGUGCCAUGGGCUUGAUCCUUCAAAGGACAGCUUACUUCACUGUGAGUCAGACACUCAGUACCUUGCAGGAGUGCUAAGAUCACUGUAUGAUAGUUCCUUAUAUACCUAUUAUUAAUAACAAUUACUUGUGCCUGCAUCCAGGGAAGAUUAUCCAUCUAUAAUCCUUUUGUUCAGCUGUUCUGUAAAGCAUUGUUUGUUUCACACAGUGGAAGUGAUUCCAGGCAGUGUUAGAUACUUUUUUUAAUUAUUGAAGACUCACGGGAGAUAAUUGUCAACUGUUAUUUGUUGAUGGAUUUCGUAUUUGUUUUCCUGAGGCUGACUGUUGAAGAGGAGAUACUCAUAGCAAUGAUCAGUAUGUUUGCACACUUGAUUCACUUUCUGUGACUCUAGCAAUUUUUGUUUCCACUAUUAAUGCAGAUCAAGUGUUGCAUUAAUAAAAGUUAAUGUUUCUAUAAAAA